UAGACCUGAGGUCAGGCAAGACCACCCGCUGAACUUAAGCAUAUCAAUAAGCGGAGG
rnacentral:rRNA from 1 species